rnacentral:lncRNA from 1 species
UGUACUUCAAAUGAAAUUCCCCUUCCUGCAACAUAUUCACCUGGGAAGGAAUGCUUUUUUGAGAUACAGGGUACUGUCGCCACAGACUGCAAACACAGAGUCCCAAGGGCCAUCCUUGAAUGUAAUGCGGUGAGCAAAUGAGUGAGGCACACUGCGCAGGACUUGGAGCCAUGCACAGACCAGGAAGUAGCUGCAUGGAGAGACUAGCUUUCCUGGGAAGACACAGUGGAACCAGGAUCCGAACCAGGCUGAUGCUGGAAUGUGGUUCUUGGUGCUACGUCCCCUCUGUGAAGAGCCUGAAGCCUCGUUGCCCCUGAAAUGUCAUGACUGCACAGAAUGUCAUUUGCUGCAUAAAAAGGUCAACAUUUUAGAGUCUUAGAACAAAGGCACAUUUGUUUUGGCCUUGAGUCUGAAAUUCCGGAAGAGCAUUGGGCUGAAUUAUGUCCCCCACCU